rnacentral:rRNA from 1 species
UUAGGCUCUGAAGCAAUCGGAAGUGGUUCCAAGAAAAGCCUCUAAGCUUCAGUCAUACGAGACCGUACCGCAAACCGACACAGGUGGGCGAGAUGACUAUUCUAAGGCGCUUGAGAGAACUCGGGAGAAGGAACUCGGCAAAUUGGUACCGUAACUUCGGGAAAAGGUACGCCCUUGUAGCUUGGCUGAUUUACUUCAGUAGGGCGAACGGGUUGCAAUAAACUGGUGGCUGCGACUGUUUAAUAAAAACACAGCACUCUGCAAACACGAAAGUGGACGUAUAGGGUGUGACGCCUGCCCGGUGCUGGAAGAUUAAAUGAUGGGGUGCAAGCUCUUGAUUGAAGUCCCAGUAAACGGCGGCCGUAACAAUAACGGUCCUAAGGUAGCGAAAUUCCUUGUCGGGUAAGUUCCGACCUGCACGAAUGGCGUAACGAUGGCCACACUGUCUCCUCCCGAGACUCAGCGAAGUUGAAGUGUUUGUGAUGAUGCAAUCUACCCGCGGCUAGACGGAAAGACCCCAUGAACCUUUACUGUAGCUUUGCAUUGGACUUUGAAUCAAUCUGUGUAGGAUAGGUGGGAGGCUUUGAAGCGGGGACGCCAGUUCUCGUGGAGCCAACCUUGAAAUACCACCCUGGUUCAUUUGAGGUUCUAACCUUGGCCCGUUAUCCGGGUCGGGGACAGUGCAUGGUAGGCAGUUUGACUGGGGCGGUCUCCUCCUAAAGUGUAACGGAGGAGUUCGAAGGUACGCUAGGUACGGUCGGACAUCGUGCUAAUAGUGCAAUGGCAUAAGCGUGCUUAACUGCGAGACUGACAAGUCGAGCAGGUACGAAAGUAGGACAUAGUGAUCCGGUGGUUCUGUAUGGAAGGGCCAUCGCUCAACGGAUAAAAGGUACUCUGGGGAUAACAGGCUGAUUCCUCCCAAGAGUUCAUAUCGACGGGGGAGUUUGGCACCUCGAUGUCGGCUCAUCACAUCCUGGGGCUGUAGCCGGUCCCAAGGGUAUGGCUGUUCGCCAUUUAAAGUGGUACGUGAGCUGGGUUUAAAACGUCGUGAGACAGUUUGGUCCCUAUCUGCCGUGGGCGUUGGAAAUUUGAAGGGGGCUGCUCCUAGUACGAGAGGACCGGAGUGGACAGACCUCUGGUGUACCGGUUGUCACGCCAGUGGCAUUGCCGGGUAGCUAAGUCUGGAAGAGAUAACCGCUGAAAGCAUCUAAGCGGGAAACUUGCCUUAAGAUGAGAUUUCCCAGAGCCUUGAGCUCUUUGAAGGGUCGUUCGAGACCAGGACGUUGAUAGGUCAGGUGUGGAAG